rnacentral:tRNA from 1 species
ACCUGGCUGGCUCAGUGAGUGGAGCGUCCGACUCUUGAUCUUGGGGUCGUGAGUUCAAGCCCCACGUUGGGUG